rnacentral:rRNA from 1 species
UGAGGAAUAUUGGGCAAUGCCCGAAAGGGUGACCCAGCAACGCCGCGUGGAGGGUGAAGGUCGUAAGAUUGUAAACUCCUGUUAGAGGGGAAGAAUAACUAAGUUUGGAGCUUAGUAUGACUGUACCCUCAGAGAAAGCCCCGGCUAACUACGUGCCAGCAGCCGCGGUAAUACGUAGGGGGCAAGCGUUGUCCGGAUUUACUGGGUGUAAAGGGCGCGCAGGCGGAAUGGAAAGUCAGUGGUGAAAUCCUACAGCUUAACUGUAGAACUGCCUUUGAUACUUUCAUUCUUGAGUUCGGGAGAGAGAGACGGAAUUCCAGGUGUAGUGGUGAAAUACGUAGAUAUCUGGAAGAACACCAGUUGCGAAGGCGGUCUCUUGGUCCGAUACUGACGCUGAGGCGCGAAAGCGUGGGGAGCAAACA